AAAAGAGUGCUGCUAAUUUACUAACACUUAUUUAAGCAUUUAGCAACUGCAGGAACUCUACCUUGUUGGCUGCGGUGGCGGAGGAGGACGAGAGGAAGGAAUUUUCGUCUAGAAUUUUAGUCGAUUGAGUGAGGGGAGAAGGGAAAAAGCUAAUCGAUUUUUCUAUUUUUCUCUUUUUUUUUCUUUUCUGUUUGAAAUAAGGCCGAAUGGGCUGGGUGUGGUGGGUUGAAUAGAGUAACCUUUUAUUUUUGGUUGGAUUGGACUUUAUAUUUAGGCAUUAGUAGAUUUUUUUUUUUUAAGUUUUGGCAUAAAUGGGACACUUACACAAAAGUGUCCCAAACAUGUGUCUCUAUAACCUAAUUCUGUUGUAGUGUAUCUCUAUUCUUUGUUCUCAAAUGCCACACUUUACAUUAACUUUAGCCUUUAUCAUUGUCCUU
rnacentral:lncRNA from 1 species